rnacentral:lncRNA from 1 species
UCUAGAAUUCUCUUCAUUUUCAUCAGCUGAAAAAUAGCCAUGGAAGAGGGUUCAAGUUGGUUUUCAUACUCUAGCUUCAUGUAAGUUUAAUUCCUGCUUUCUCCUUGAAAUUUCUAUGUUUUUGGACUUUUACAAUUGGGCCCACCUUACUAUUUCAUUAGUUUUUGAUUUCAUGGCUAAUUUUUAAAGUUGUUAUGGAUGAGUGCUGGAAGCACAUGAUGAAUAAAUAUAGAAUUGAAGCUUUUUUUUUAUAUAUGAUAAUUUUAUCAAGUAAAAUUGAUGGAAAUUGAUUUGAGGACCUAAUUGUGAAAAUGUUUGGAAUUAAAGUCUAGUGCUGAAAUUAUGAUUUCCAAGGGUUGUAAAGUAUUUUAAAGUGAUAGAAUAAAGUGUUAAUUGAGAAAAAUCAGCUCAAUUGAGAGGCUAAUUGAGUAGGGAUGAAAUUGUUAAUUAUUACAAGCUUAGGGAAAAAAUGGUAAUAAACAGCUUGCACUAAAACAAUUUUGGACAGCAGCAAUAGACUAAAUUUGAAAAAUCACUAUAAAUUGUAUAAAUAAAAUUAGAAGAUGAACAAAAUAUGAAAUUAAAGCUUAUUGAGUCUAGUUUCUUAUAGAAGAAACAGUGUAAGCAAUGAAUUUGUAAAUCAUGAGAUAUAAUAAAUUUUGUGAGACAAGAUUAGAAUGAAUUUGGGUUCCCCUAUUUUGACUUUGAAAAAUCAUAAAAAAUUGAAUAAAAAUAAUUAUGGGCUUAAAUUUAUAUUUCUAGAAUCCUGAAUGAGUCUAUUUUCAAGACAUACAAACGGGAACACCAUUCCUAUCCUGUAUGAAGAGAUAAUUAAUUUUUAGUGAAGAAUGGUCAAAACUGUCAGACAGCAGAACAGGGGUGACUUUAAAGAAUAAACUGUACUUAUUAGCUAAACUAAAAAUUCUGAAAUUUUUAUGGUAAGAAUAUAUGUGAGUCUAGUUUCAGGUAAAAUUAGCGGAUCUUAAUUUGGAGUUCUGUAGAUCCAGAUAUAAAUAAUUUAGUGACUAUGACACGGGUGGAUAGCUUGAAUAUUCACAUUAGUUAUUAGUGAAAAUUAUGGAUAAGGUUACUUACAAGUGUGUUAUUUAUACCAAGGAUGUGGAUGGAGAGGAGGAGGAGGAAAAAUAUAUGAAUGACUCAUGUAUAAAUUGAUCACAUGCCCGAUUAUAAUCGAUAAGUGUUGAAUUAGAAAUGAUAUAAUAUUUUAUGAAAUUAUGAUUAUCGUUAUAAUACAAAAAUUGAACUUGUGAGUUUAUAUGGCUAAAUUUUAGUGAUUAUUUGUUAAUUUUAUGAAUUUCAUGAUGUGUUAGUUCAUAUGUAUUGAUGAUAAAAUCAUGAAUAAUGUAAAAGCAUGAAAAUUGAAUAAAUGAUCAAAUUGAGCACUUCAGUUCAGUGACAAGAUGAAUUGACGGAAAAGACCAUGGUUGGACCAUGGCAACAAGUGAUAAGUGAUAGCUUUGGCUACACUUAUCUGAUCAAGGAUAAGUGAAAGUGAUAAGUGAUAGUGUAAUAUCCCGAAUUAGGACCUAAUCGGAAUAGUGGUUUUGUGACCACAAAUUCGAGAUAGAAAUAAUUAUUUUAUAAUUAUUUUGAGGUUUAUGAUAUGAUUGCAUGAUUGUGUGAAAAUUUCGUGACGAAAUUAUAUGCAUAAAGUGGUUAAGUUGAAAUUAGGGACUAAAUCGAAUAAUUUGCAAAACUUGCAUUCUAGAAUUUUUUAGUAUGAAAUUGCUUUGAAAUAUUAAUGAGGAGGUCUUAAAUAGAAAUUUAACCAAUUUCUAAGUUUAUGGACAAAAAUUGGACAUGGAUGGAAUUUUUGAAAGUUUAGUAAGGAAAGGCAUUUUGGUCAUUUGGAUAUUAAAUGGAAUAAAAUGGGAAAAAUAACAUAAAAAUGAUCAUCUUCUCCAUAAGUUGCUGCCAAAUUUUUCUCUCCACCAUAGCUAGGGUUUCAACACUUUUAAGCCUUGAUUGUAAGUGAUUUCUAUGCCCGUUUUUAAUGAUUUUUAUGUUUUUGAAAUUCCGGUAGCUCGAUUUAGCUUAUGCUAGCAAUAAUUCAACCUAGGGUUCAUAUUUGGAAAAAUACCCAUAGGUGAAAUUUGUGUAUUUUGGUGUUUUAUGAUAGAAUAUGAGGUUUUAAAUUAUGCUAGACAACUUGUGCUACUCGGUUUUAAGUGAAAACGAGUAAAAGGGCUUAAUCUGUAAAAAUACCUAAUAUUCAUAAGUACAUGUUAGAGUGUGAAUUUGAUGUUGCCAUAGAAUGGAAAAAUGAUCAACAUGUCAUAAAAAAUAAGAAAAUAGGAUGAGGUUUAAUUUAUGAGCCUUGGGGCAAAAAUGCAAAUAUGUGAAAGUUUAGGGGCAAAAUGCUAAUUUUUCCAAAGUUUGUAUUAGGGGCUGUUUUGAUGAAUGAAUGUAUUAAAUAAAUUAAUUUGGCAUUAUAGAUCAAGAGAAACGAGAUUCAAGUCGCAAUCGAGGGAAAAACAAAGUUUAUGAGGAAUAGGCUCGAUUGCUAAUAUUUUGUAUCGAGGUAAGUUCAUGUGUAAAUAAGGUAACAUAGUUUUUAUUUUAAGUGAUUUAAUGUUAUUUAUAUGACAUGAUACUUAUUAUCAUGAAAUAUGAUGUUUUGUGAAUUAUUAUUUGGUGAUAUGCAAAUUAUGUGAACAACUUGAUAAGUAUGAGAAGUUAGCAAGUAUUGGUUUCUACAUUUCAAAAAAGGCGAUCAAAAUGUGUAAUUGAAAAGAAUCCUAUUUGAACCUUGGGAAUAGAUUAGGGUACAAGUGACAUGUCACUAGGAUGGUUGAGUUCCGAACUCGUUGAGUUGAGUCCGAGUUCACUUAUGGAUGCGAACGCCCGAGUUCGUUGAGUUGAGUCCGAGUUUGUUUAUGGGCGGGUUACAUGGUACCUUGGCUACAUAGAUUUCAAAAGCUAUUGAGCUUGUUUAGCUAUGAGUAAAGCACUUAUGUGCACAUUAUCCGUGUAUCCAAAAUCAUAUUCCGAUGUGUUCAACGGGAGAUCUCUAAUAGAAUAAGGAGAAUGCCUAAUACGAAGGUGACAUGUUGGUAAGUGUGGUGAAUAAGAAAAUUUGGCAGGUAUGUGUUUAAACCCUCGGGUUGAGAACUUAGUAUGAUGAAAUUGUAGUAAGAUAUUAAAUGCAAAUGUAACAUGAAUGUCUUGGUGUUGUUUAUGCAAAUAAUGUUUAUGUUGAAUGGCAUGAUUAUGUUACUUGUUAUUUGCAUGUGAACUUACUAAGCAUUUAUGCUUACUCCCUCCUUUUCCUUCAUUGUAGUUUUGACAAGCCGGCUUGAGAAUCAGGAUAGGUCGAAGGCUCGCUCACACUAUCCGAAGACCUAAAUUGGUAAAAUGGCUUGUAUAUUUUGAGUGUGGCAUGUGUAGCAAUAUACUCACUUUGUGUAAAUGAUCAUAUGAUAUGGUUAUGGUUUGGUAAGAAAAGGGUUUGUAAAUGAUUAGCUAUUGGAAUGGCUAAUCGAGUUUAUAUAUGAUAACAUGUAUGCUUUAUGUCUUAACUAAACCAUGAAAAUCCUUG